GACGAACGCUGGCGGCGUGCCUAAUACAUGCAAGUAGAACGCUGAAGAGAGGAGCUUGCUCUUCUUGGAUGAGUUGCGAACGGGUGAGUAACGCGUAGGUAACCUGCCUUGUAGCGGGGGAUAACUAUUGGAAACGAUAGCUAAUACCGCAUAACAAUGGAUGACCCAUGUCAUUUAUUUGAAAGGGGCAAAUGCUCCACUACAAGAUGGACCUGCGUUGUAUUAGCUAGUAGGUGAGGUAACGGCUCACCUAGGCGACGAUACAUAGCCGACCUGAGAGGGUGAUCGGCCACACUGGGACUGAGACACGGCCCAGACUCCUACGGCAGGCAGCAGUAGGGAAUCUUCGGCAAUGGGGGCAACCCUGACCGAGCAACGCCGCGUGAGUGAAGAAGGUUUUCGGAUCGUAAAGCUCUGUUGUAAGUCAAGAACGAGUGUGAGAGUGGAAAGUUCACACUGUGACGGUAGCUUACCAGAAAGGGACGGCUAACUACGUG
rnacentral:rRNA from 1 species